AUUGAACGCUGGCGGCAGGCUUAACACAUGCAAGUCGAGCGAGCGGCGGACGGGUGAGUAAUGUCUGGGAAACUGCCUGAUGGCGGGGGAUAACUACUGGAAACGGUAGCUAAUACCGCAUACCAUCAGAUCUGCCCAUAUCGGAUUAGCUAGUAGGUGGGGUAAUGGCUCACCUAGGCGACGAUCCAUAGCUGGUCUGAGAGGAUGACCAGCCACACUGGAACUGAGACACGGUCCAGACUCCUACGGGAGGCAGCAGUGGGGAAUAUUGCACAAUGGGCGAAAGUCUGAUGCAGCCAUGCCGCGUGUGUGAAGAAGGCCUUCGGGUUGUAAAGCACUUUCAGCUAGGAGGCGUUACUCGCAGAAGAAGCACCGGCUAACUCCGUGCCAGCCGCCGCGGUAAUAC
rnacentral:rRNA from 1 species